CGGAUUGCAGGCUGCAACCCGCCUGCAUGAAGUUGGAAUCGCUAGUAAUCGCGGAUCAGCAUGCCGCGGUGAAUACGUUCCCGGGCCUUGUACACACCGCCCGUCACACCAUGAGAGUCGGGAACACCCGAAGUCCGUAGCCUAACCGCAAGGGGGCGCGGCCGAAGGUGGGUUCGAUAAUUGGGGUGAAGUCGUAACAAGGUAAC
rnacentral:rRNA from 1 species